UAAGGAAUAUUGGUCAAUGGAGGCAACUCUGAACCAGCCAUGCCGCGUGAAGAAUUAAGGCCCUCUGGGUUGUAAACUUCUUUUAUAUGGGAAGAAAUGUACUUUUUCUAAAGUGCUUGACGGUACCAUAGGAAUAAGCACCGGCUAACUCCGUGCCAGCAGCCGCGGUAAUACGGAGGGUGCAAGCGUUAUCCGGAUUUACUGGGUUUAAAGGGUGCGUAGGCGGAUGAAUAAGUCAGUGGUGAAAUCUCCGAGCUUAACUCGGAAACUGCCGUUGAUACUAUUUGUCUUGAAUAUUGUGGAGGUAAGCGGAAUAUGUCAUGUAGCGGUGAAAUGCUUAGAUAUGACAUAGAACACCAAUUGCGAAGGCAGCUUGCUACACAAUCAUUGACGCUGAGGCACGAAAGCGUGGGGAUCAAACA
rnacentral:rRNA from 1 species